GCAAAUAGCCGUUGAUCCCGGGAUAUCCGAAUGGGGCAACCCGGCAGGCUGAAGGCCUGCCAUCCCGUAAGGGAGGCGAACGUGGGGAACUGAAACAUCUAAGUACCCAUAGGAGGAGAAAAUAAACAAUGAUUCCGUAAGUAGUGGCGAGCGAACACGGAAGAGCCCAAACCCAUGUCGUCUAGGCGACACGGGGGUUGUAGGACCACGACGUGGCAAGAUAGAGUCAAGUGGAACGCCUUGGAAAAGGCGGUCAUAGAGGGUGAAAACCCCGUACACGACUGACGAUUGAAGCCUAGUGGCAUCCUGAGUAGCGCGGGGCACGAGAAAUCUUGCGUGAAACUGCGGGGCCCAUCCCGUAAGGCUAAAUACUCCCGAGAGACCGAUAGCGAACCAGUACCGUGAGGGAAAGGUGAAAAGAACCCCGAGCAGGGGAGUGAAAUAGACCCUGAACCCGUCUGCCUACAAGCGGUCGGAGCAUAGCAAUAUGUGACGGCGUGCCUUUUGCAUAAUGAACCUACGAGUUACCUUCCCCGGCAAGGUUAAGUACCUAAGGUACGGAGCCGAAGCGAAAGCGAGUCUGAAGAGGGCGGCCAGUCGGGGGGGGUAGACGCGAAACCGAGUGAUCUACCCUUGGCCAGGUUGAAGGUUGGGUAACACCAACUGGAGGACCGGAUGGGUAAGCGUUGAAAAGCUUUCCAAUGAGCUGAGGGUAGGGGUGAAAGGCUAAUCAAACUCGGAGAUAGCUCGUACUCCCCGAAAUGCAUUUAGGUGCAGCCUCUUUAUAGUAUAUCGUGAGGUAGAGCGACUGAUUGGAUGCGAGGGCUUCACCGCCUAUCAAGUCCAGAUAAACUCCGAAUGCGCGAUAUAUAUUUACAGGGAGUGAGGGCGCGGGUGCUAAGGUCCGUGUCCGAGAGGAGAAGAAUCCAGACCACCGGCUAAGGCCCCCAAAUGAUCGUUGAGUUGAACUAACGAGGUCGGAUCGCAGAGACAGCUAGGAUGUUGGCUUGGAAGCAGCCAUUCAUUUAAAGAGUGCGUAACAGCUCACUAGUCGAGCGAUCUGGCGUGGAUAAUAAUCGGGCAUAAACGAUCUGCCGAAGCCGUGGAUGUCGUAAGACAUGGUAGGGGAGCAUUCCAUGCGGCGUCGAAGAUGAGGGAUGACCCUUGUUGGAGCGCAUGGAAAAGCAAAUGUAGGUAUGAGUAACGAUAAGGGGGGCGAGAAACCCCCCCGCCGAAAGACCAAGGUUUCCUGAUCAACGCUAAUCGGAUCAGGGUGAGUCGGGACCUAAGGCAAAGCCGAACGGCGCCGCCGAUGGAAGAAUGGGUUAAUAUUCCCAUACUGCCUCAUGGAGUGACGUGGAGACGGAGAAGUGACAGUCCUGCCGGCUGACGGAAUAGCCGGUUGAAGGGUGUAGAUAUUGAUUCCCGUAGGCAAAUCCGCGGGGAGAGUCGAACCUGACAGUAUACCGAGUACUUGUACGAGGUAAUAUGGACGUAACCAUGCUCCCAAGAAAAUCCGCUAAACUUAUCCAUGCGGCACCCGUACCGUAAACGGACACACGUGGUCGGGUUGAGAAUACUGAGGCGCUCGAGUGACUCACGGUUAAGGAACUAGGCAAAUUGACCCUGUAACUUCGGGAUAAAGGGUCCUCGUCGUAAGGCGAGGCGCAGAGAAUAGGUCCAGGCAACUGUUUAACAAAAACACAUGGCUAUGCUAAAUGGAAACAUGACGUAUAUAGCCUGACACCUGCCCGGUGCUGGAAGGUUAAGAGGAGAUGUCAUCGCAAGAGAAGCGUUGAAUUGAAGCCCCAGUAAACGGCGGCCGUAACUAUAACGGUCCUAAGGUAGCGAAAUUCCUUGUCGGGUAAGUUCCGACCUGCACGAAUGGUGUAAUGAUCUGGACGCUGUCUCAACCGUGAGCUCAGUGAAAUUGUAGUAUCGGUGAAGAUGCCGAUUACCCGCGAUGGGACGAAAAGACCCCGUGAACCUUUACUAUAGCUUUACAUUGAAUUUGGGCAGACGAUGUGUAGGAUAGGCCGGAGGCUUUGAAGGGGGUACGCCAGUAUCCUUGGAGCCGCCGUUGAAAUACGGCCCUUCGGUUGUUUGAGUUCUAACUCCUAGGCAGGAGGACACUGUAUGGUGGGUAGUUUGACUGGGGUGGUCGCCUCCAAAAGCGUAACGGAGGCUUCUAAAGGUGCCCUCAGACCGAUUGGUAACCGGUCGCAGAGUGUAAUGGCAUAAGGGCGCUUGACUGGGAGAGAUACAACUCGAUCAGGUAGGAAACUAGAGCAUAGUGAUCCGGUGGUUCCGCAUGGAAGGGCCAUCGCUCAAAGGAUAAAAGGUACUCCGGGGAUAACAGGCUGAUCAUUCCCAAGAGCUCAUAUCGACGGAAUGGUUUGGCACCUCGAUGUCGGCUCGUCACAUCCUGGGGCUGGAGAAGGUCCCAAGGGUUGGGCUGUUCGCCCAUUAAAGUGGCACGCGAGCUGGGUUCAGAACGUCGUGAGACAGUUCGGUCUCUAUCUAUCGUGGGCGCAGGAGAUUUGAGGGGCUCUGACACUAGUACGAGAGGACCGUGUUGGACGUACCACUGGUUUACCGGUUGUCCCGCCAGGGGCACCGCCGGGUAUCUAAGUACGGAUCGGAUAAGUGCUGAAAGCAUCUAAGUACGAAGCCGGCCUCAAGAUUAGAUCUCCCUGAAGGGUGGUUAUAGACGAUGACCUUGA
rnacentral:rRNA from 1 species